rnacentral:lncRNA from 1 species
AAAUCUACGGUUUUUCAGUAUUUUGAAGAUGGAAUUCUGGGGUUUUUGGAGGUGGGGUGGAAAGUGAUGCAUCUGUAUAUUGAGAUUGGCUUCAUAGAAAGUACAGAGAAGCCCCAGGAGGCUGAGUUACAUCAGGGCCACUGAGAAUUACAUAAGGUGAUGCAUGACAGCACAUGGCACAUGGAAAACAUACACGAGGAAGAAGAUGACAACAUAAUGUCUUAUUCAGAGCUCUUGGUGCAGCUUCCCGGUCUGCAGUUUGACUUGUUAUCUCCAGGCCUUCAUCAGCUGGAUCUCUUCAGUUCUAAAAUCUGCCUCUGUAAGCCUUGCCUA